rnacentral:rRNA from 1 species
GACCCUAUAGAGUUUAAUAUUUCAUUAAUAAAUUAUUUUUUAGAAUUUAAUAUUAAUUUAUUAAUUAAAUAUUUGAUUGGGGUGAUUAAAAAAUUUAAGUAACUUUUUUUAUAUCGAAACAUUAAUUUAUGAUUGCUUGAUCCAUUUUUUAUGAUUAUAAGAUUAAAUUACCUUAGGGAUAACAGCGUAAUUUUUUUUAAGAGUUCAAAUCGAAAAAAAAGAUUGCGACCUCGAUGUUGGAUUAAAAUUUAUUUUUGGUGUAGAAGCUAAAUUUAUUGGGUCUGUUCGACCUUUAAAAUUUUACAUGAUCUGA